rnacentral:rRNA from 1 species
CCUACGGGGGGCAGCAGUAGGGAAUCUUUCACAAUGGGCGAAAGCCUGAUGGAGCAACGCCGCGUGCAGGAUGAAGGCCUUCGGGUUGUAAACUGCUUUUAUAAGCGAGAAAUAUGAUGGUAACUUAUGAAUAAGGAUCGGCUAACUACGUGCCAGCAGCCGCGGUCAUACGUAGGAUCCGAGCAUUAUCCGGAGUGACUGGGUGUAAAGAGUUGCGUAGGUGGCAUAAUAAGUAGCUAGUGAAAUCUGGUGGCUCAACCAUUCAGACUAUUAGCUAAACUGUUAAGCUCGAGACCGUUAGGGGUAACUGGAAUUUCUAGUGUAGGAGUGAAAUCCGUAGAUAGUAGAAGGAACACCAAUAGCGUAGGCAGGUUGCUGGGACGGUUCUGACACUAAGGCACGAAAGCGUAGGGAGCAAACGGGAUUAGAUACCCGUGUAGUC